UNGCUCAUACUUGGUGUUGUACUGAUUGA
rnacentral:piRNA from 1 species